rnacentral:rRNA from 1 species
GCAGCAGGCGCGCAAAUUACCCACUCCCGGCACGGGGAGGUAGUGACGAAAAAUAACGAUACGGGACUCAUCCGAGGCCCCGUAAUCGGAAUGAGUACACUCUAAACCCUUUAACGAGUAUCCAUUGGAGGGCAAGUCUGGUGCCAGCAGCCGCGGUAAUUCCAGCUCCAAUAGCGUAUAUUAAAGUUGUUGCGGUUAAAAAGCUCGUAGUUGGACUUGUGUCCCACGCUGUCGGUUCACCGUUCGUCGGUGUUAACUGGCAUGCCUGUGUGGACGUCCUGCCGGUGGAUGCGGUCGGCCGUGGGCCUCUGGUCUGCGUGUCGGCGGUCCGAUGCAAUCCUACCGCGGUGCUCUUCACCGAGUGUCGAGGUGGGCCGGCACGUUUACUUUGAACAAAUUAGAGUGCUCAAAGCAGGCAGUGGUUCGCCUGAAUAUUGUGUGCAUGGAAUAAUGGAAUAGGACCUCGGUUCUAUUUUGUUGGUUUUUCGGAACCUGAGGUAAUGAUUAAUAGGGACAGACGGGGGCAUUCGUAUUGCGACGUUAGAGGUGAAAUUCUUGGAUCGUCGCAAGACGAACCUAAGCGAAAGCAUUUGCCAUGAGUGUUUUCAUUAAUCAAGAAACGAAAGUUAGAGGUUCGAAGGCGAUCAGAUACCGCCCUAGUUCUAACCAUAAACGAUGCCAGCUAGCGAUCCGCCGAAGUUCCUCCGAUGACUCGGCGGGCAGCUUCCGGGAAACCAAAGCUUUUGGGUUCCGGGGGAAAGUAUGGUUGCAAAGCUGAAACUUUAAAGGAAUUUGACCGGAAAGGGCACCACCAGGAAGGAAGCCUGCGGCUUAAUUUGACUCAACACGGGAAACUCACCCAGGCCCGGACACCCGGAAAGGAUUGACAGAUUGAUAGCUCUUUCUUGAUUCGGUGGGUGGUGGUGC